UCACUUUCAACAACGGAUCUCUUAGCUCUCGCAUCGAUGAAGAACGUAGCGAAGUGCGAUAAGUAAUGUGAAUUGCAGGAUUCCGUGAGUCAUCGAAUCUUUGAACGCAAAUUGCGCUCUCUGGUAUUCCGGGGAGUAUGUCUGUUUGAGGGUCAGU
rnacentral:rRNA from 1 species